UACUAACGCCAAUGCGUUAGUCUUCAGAAGUAGUUGCUACCUGGCUAGCGGUUUCCUGUGAAUACAAGUUAUUUCAAAGAAAAAGUGUCAACAUUUAAGUUGGUGAGUUCAUAAGUAGUGUUUUGAGAAGAUGUAUGCCAUUCGAAAGUGUUUGCAUGUUUUCCAGAAAAACCCUUAUUUUCUUAUAAAAGUAUGCAAUGCAUAUGAAUGUUCGUGAUGUAAAUUGCAACUAAUUGUACCGAGAAAAUCCCUUAUUUUCCUAUUAGUUGUUUGGUUUGUAUACAGGAAAAACCCUUAUUUCCCUGACAUAACUGGUAGUCUCUAAGACCGAAAAUCGCAAGCAAGCGACGUGCUUGUAAGUUGUGUCAUAGUUUUACAUAGUAAAGCUAUACGAAGAUCGCACUUUUUAGAUGAAGAAUAGUUUUAAUGACUACUCGUUCAUAAAAGCAUAAUACCAUAAUAAUUGUAUAUCCGAUGAGUUUUAUAACCAUACUAAACAUAAUAUGCCUGUAGCGACGUUCUUCAGGCGUCGUAGCGUUAUGACAACUGUCACCCCAUAAGACGGACUGUAGCUAACAGUCAGGGCGCGGGAUCAUGACUUCCCGUAUAGAUCUAUACACAUUUGACACGUUCUCCGAACGGGAGACUCUGGUUAUAGACAGGACUUGCAGCAUUAUUUUCUAAUAAAGAAAGUAACGUUUGAAGAUAUACACGACUCAUGGAUUCUCAACUAAGUCCGUAGUAAGGUAGUAGUUUGUAUGCAAAGUUUAACCUCUUUCACACUGUUUGACAAAGCAUAAUCAUAAAUUCUUUGAAUGCAAGAAAUGACUUAGUAAAGAAUGUUACCCUUGAUAUGAUGUGUUUGUAUGUAACCGUAUAAAUAAAACAUAUUUCUAUUUAUAAACAUAUUAUAUCCCAAAGAGGGUAAAGCUGUGUUGUGAGGGGUUUUGUAUCAUAAUAACUUCACAAGAUAGUUAAAACAACAGUAUGAAAAGUAUAUCAAAAGGUUAAUGUUUCACACGAAUUUAGUCAUGUGUUAACUUGUAUUCCUCCCCAAAAAGAGUAUAAAACAUUUAAAAUGUAUUUAAAGAGUGUUCAAAGGGGAUAUGAACUCACUUGAUAGUUUGAAGAUUGUGAGGUGGAAAACCGAGCAGAGUUUCGUCUCGGGAAACUGAUUUUUCUUGGGAUUCUCGGGAAUCUCGGGAGUAGAAUCGGCCUUCGGGACUUGAGCCAAAAAGACCAGAGCUUCGGGUUUGAACGGACACGGAAAACGAGGAAAUGCUGAGAGAGAGAGAAGAGAAAUGAACCCUUUCUUUGGAAACCCUCGCAUUCUAUUUAUAGGAAGGCAGGUCUGCCUCGGUACGCGGGGCGUACGCUCGUACGCGCUGCGUACGCGUACGUCAUGCAUGACCGAAGCCUCGACUGCCUCGGUUCGGAUGGGACGGGUUCUUGGGUUCUCGGGUCGGAUGGGACGGGUUGCUGGGGAGGUGGGUCGGAUGGGACGCCGGGUCGGAUGGGACGUCGGGUCGGACGGGUCGGACGGGUCGGCUUCCUCGGAUAUGGCGACGUGGACGAUCCGAGGCCAAUCCUCUCGGUUACGCGGGGCGUACAGGAGUACGCAGCGCGUACUUCGGAGAAGGACGCUGACUCCUCUUCGGAUAAUAUCCGAAUUUUGAAUUAAAUAAUUAAUUAAUUUAUUUAAUAAACUUCAAAAAUCCAUAUCUUCUUCAUACGAACUCCGUUUUCGAUGGUCUUUAUAUCCACGCGUAGGUGAGACUACGAUCUACAACUUUCGUUUAGACUCCGUUGGCAAAUUCCAAAAUUAUUUUUAUUAUUUAUUUUAUAACUAAUCGUUUUUAAGGAAUUUCUUUGCAAAAUCAUAACUUCCUCAUGCGAAGUCAGAUUUGGACGUUCUUUUUGUGUACGCUCACGGUUUAAUGUUAUCUAUGACUUUCAUUUAGAUACCUAAGGCUAAAUGUUAUCGUAUUGAAACUUUGCGUUUUUCGUUUGAUCGGUGUUGUCGGUUUUGACAGAAAUCUUAGAAUGGUCAUAGCUUCUUCGCCAUAACUCAGAUUUUAGUGUUCUUUAUUUAUUUGGAACCUUUAAGACGAUAUCUACUACAUAGCGUACUCCAAAUCAGAGCUUUUGAACAAUUCAUUUAUCGAUGAUAUUCCCAUUACAUUCAAAAAGGGUUACAAGACUCGGUUUAUAAUGCCCGGGAUAACGGGUUGUUACACGUAUGAGGAGCUAUACGAUCAUACCUUUGUCUUUCCUCGAUCCCCUAUGUACCUGAAACAAUAAACUGAAACUGUAAGCCCGAGGCUUGCUGAGUUCCCCAAAAAUACCGAUACACUACACAUAACACAUAUACAAAUAACAACAUGUAUUGGCUCCACAGCUUUUAUAGACUGGAUUACCCCUGGGCGCACGGUGUGAGUAUGGAUUGCCUUCCGGGCCCACAACUCACAUUUGGAUUACCAUCGAGCCUACAGUACGAGUCUCCCGCAUCUCGUAUUUGGAAUGCUCUCGAGCCCACAGUACGAGUCUGACAUGCCCCACCUGGCCAUCAACUCAUAUCUGGAAUGCUCUUGGGUUUGUUGGUUACCGCACGGAGCAGUAUCACCUCAGCCCAUCCUACAUAAUAUGUCGGCAUACAACACAACCAAUGUGCAUACAGAUAAUCACAUAAUACUACAGGUAGUCCUACAGAUCUACCUAACUGGAAGAGCAACUAGCAUGCAACGCUAAAUCAUACUCAACAUACUAGCAAUUGCUAGGAUAUCAUAUCCAAUGGGCUGGCCUUGGUGCCUUAGACCCCUUGGUAUAGUGAGGAUAACUCACCUCGCAAGUAGUGUCGAAGUACUGAAAACCUCUGAUCGUUGUCUCACCGGAAAUCCCGAACUAUCACAUAAUAAAUACCAAGUCAUUACACAACAUAACAAUCUUGACUAAGGGUCCACACAAUCCAUCACGUCCAUUCUCUUUAUUGGGCCAAGGCCUAGUGCCAAGUCCAUAACCUUGAAAGUCCUUAUGCAAAGCCCAUUAUUGGCCCGAUUUACCAAAUUGGGCCCAACUCCCUAAUAGGCCUAAUUCCAAGAUCCAUUAUCAAAACUUGGCCCAAAACAUUAUAUUCAUAAAGUCCAGCAAAGGCCCAAAUCCAUGUAGUCCAUAAACAACCCAAAACCCAAAGCUCAAUUGUCAAAGGCCCAUCAGAGGACGUACGUUGGGCGUACUCCUCCUGAUGUUGACCACCAUUGGGGUGGUUGACCCAAUACGAUGGGCGUACUGGAUUUACGCUAGGCAUACGUAGUGGUUUGCCAAAAUCUGAAUAAGUGCUUAAUGGCUUAAGCACUUAAGCCCAAACUUCAGAUCCAAUGACCAAAUGUGCCUAGGACCCAUAAAGUCACAAACUUUAUCACUUUGGACGUACAUAAAGCUCUUAAUACUUGUUCUAAAUCCAUUAAGACCUUCCCACUGCAUGCAUGGGAUAUCUUAAGCCAUUGGGACCUCAUUUUUAUCACUCAAAACCCCUUCAAGAGUCUAGAAGGAUAGUUCAUUUCGUCCAAAUCACAUCAUGCACAAUCUUGGGAGUUUUUGGGACAAGAAAUGGUUCUUUAAAAGAAAAAUGUGAAAAUCUAUACAUAUAUGCAUAAAGUUUGAAGCUUUUUACCUUUAGGAGCUUCUAGGGCACAAACCAACUUUAGAUCUACAAGCUUGAUCUUCUUCUCCAACUCCUUGAUGUAACACCUUCUUCUUAAAACACUCAAGAAACACUCAAUAAGCUCAAACACCUUCUUAUCCAACUCCUUGAUGUAACAUCUUCUUCUCCAAAACUCAAACCAAUUAUCCUGAAAAGAAAGUUUGAGAACGAAAAAGGGAUUACUUCAACUCAAGGACCUUCCGAAGGGCAGCAGGCUGGGGCAGUCAAUACCCCUAUCAGCCCUCCUGUUCCGACACCGACGACACCAUACUUAGGAAACCUCCCCCACUGCGGAAAGUGUAACUAACAUCAUUAUGGGAUCUGCCGAGAACUAUGUUGUGUCAAAUGCAGCAUGAAGGGGCAUACCGCUCGCAUCUGCAAGACUUCGGUCGAGUUUAUUACUUCAACCACCAAUGUUGGAGUCAAUCCAAUAUGCCAUCUCUGUGGUGAAAUAGGACAUUUCAAGAGAGACUGUCCAACAAAAAGAGGUGACGAGGUUACAGGAGGAGUUUAACCUUAAAACAUAAAGAAGCAUCAAGGAGCCCGAUAGGAUUUUGGUAUGCUUCUCAACCUUAGUAAUUAAUUAAAAACUUCAAUAACCAAUUAUAAUUAUAAUUACUCCCUCGUUAAAACAAGAGCGCGACACUGUUAUAUAACUCAAAACCCCAUCAGGUAAAUCUAUGAUGGCUUAGUAUAUACAUUAGGGCCAUUUAUAAUUAAGAUUUGUAGACCUCGAGUGAGUGAUGCGGCCUCAUUUCCAGUUCCAUGUUUGGUUGUGGAUUUAGGGCGGAGUCACUCAGUCAACAGUCUUUCCAAUCUUAAUUAUACAUGACUAGUAUACACUAGGCGGUUAUAGAAAUGCCUUGUGGAAAUCACUCCAUGAAAAGUACAUUAUUUCGAAUCGUUAGGACCCUCAAACUGUUUACACCCGUUGUUUCCGGUUCAAAAGUUCAUGGUAGUGAUACCAUGGGAGAAACCAGAAGCACUAAAACCAAGUGUGCUUGAUUUAGCACAUAGUCCUGAUAAUCAUUUCUUGCGUAUCGAUUCGAUAUCUAUUAGUCAAAAGAUUUUCGACAUCGUCGUCAGUCAUGGUCCGACUUGGUCCUUACCAUGCAAAAAUUUCCGGUGCUAUGUAAAAAGAACUUUCAUCCUAGUAAAUCGUCAAAUAAAUUCUUUCAAAUCUAAAUGGAAAACCUAAUGUGAACCAUCAUGUCGUCCCUCACAUCCGAAAUUCAGAAGUACCAGAAGGGAUACCACGCCUUGUUAUCCUAUCCAACAGUCAAUAGACUUGAAGUGGAAAACACUGAAGAUAUUCCAAAAGACAGUAAGUACCCGAGGCAUACCCGAUAGAUCCUCUAGAAAGACCCCGCGUAUAGCAUGGUCAAGUUUAGGAAAAGAGAAUAAGAACUCAUGGGAUAACUUAUUACUGCCAAGUGUAUAUGUAAGAGUGGUAUAUAAUUUAGAUCGAUAAGAUUUAAGAUGCAUGAUCCCGCCUUAUUUCCUGUUCCUUGUUUGGUUGUGGACUUGGGGCGGAGUCACCCAUUUGAACAUCUUGCCAAUCUCAAUUAUAUACAACUUGUAUACACGAAGUAGUGAUGAAUGAGCCCAAUAUGAGUUUUAUCAUGGACCAUAAAGCAAAAACCUUCGUUAUAUAUCUGUUAGGAAGAAGUUGGAACAUGAGAAAAUGAAUGUGAGUUGAACUACUAAACGACUACGACUUCGAAAUUCGUUAUUCUCCCGGUAGAGCCAGUGUAGUAGCCGACACCCUUAGUCGGAAAGAGUAACUCAGAUAGUAGAGUCAAAUCGUUGACUGUGACCCCCCAUUUACAUCAGUUCACAUGAAUUAAGGGCUCACCAGGGAGCCUAGGAACCUAGAAAUGUGUCAGGUGAAAUCCGGAGAGGGAUGGAUGAGUACUUAGAGGUCAGGGGUGACGGAUUCUUAUACCACAUAGAUUUGACCUAGACACCGAAGUUCAGUGAUGUCCGAGAAGUAGUCAUGGAUGAAUCUCACAAUACUCAAACUCUCCGUUCAUACAGAUCCAAAUGAGAGGCUUCUAGACCUCAAGAAGUUAGUUUAGUAGCUCGUCAUGCGAGGAAAGGUAUUGUUGCCAUGUAGACAAGUGUCUUGGGCACACCAAAGUUAAAGUUAAAAUACCGAAAGCCAUAGGAUUACCACCACAUUCGGAGGUACUUCAGUAGAAGAGGCAGCAUAUUGCAUUGGGCUUCAUAGUCAAGCUUCCCAAGGCAACAGGUGGACACGAUAUCAUUUUGAGUGACCGUUGACGGAUUAAAUCCGCACGGUCCCUACAAAUUGAAGAAAACGGACACAAUCGAGAAGCUAAUGGAACACGUGUCUAAGAGAUUAGUUAGACUGUGCGGUGUUCAAAUGUCUAUUAUCACUAUUCGAGAUAACAUAAUCACCUCCCGAAUUUGGCAGUCACUUCAGAAAAUCUCUGAAGGCUAGGCUAGUCAUGAGCAUAGCCUAUCACCCAUGAAACGACAGACAAAAUAAUAAGACGAUUCAACCAUUAGGAAUUGUGCGGAAAAUGCAUUUUAUUGACCUUGGUAAAGCUUGGGAUACCCGAUUGCCAACUAGUCAAGUCCUUUACCAUACCGACAUUUAGAGUUGCUUCGUUCGAAAGCCCUCAUUAGUUGAAAGUGCAGAUCCUCUCUGCACUGGACUAAGGUAGGUGCCAUGCAACUUGUUAGAUGCCAAAUGUCAGACAAUAUAUUCGAUGAUCCAGAAAACCCUUCGUGAAAACUACCAAGUAAUAGAGCAAAUCCGAAAAUCACCUAGAACUUAUAGAACCAACCAGGAAAGCUACGCCUUCCAUAAUAGAAAAACCUUUGGAACUCCAGGAUGAUGAUCACGUAAAAUGGAGAUCUCGCCCUGGAAGGGCAUCAUGUGUUUUAGAUACAUGGAAUACUAAAUCCAAGGUGCUUAGGGCCAUAUAAUAUUCUUGAUAGAAAUGGCCUGGUAGCUUACAAGUCCUGACUAUUUAGGGAAUUCAAUACAUUCCACCCUAUCCUUCCACGUCUAUAAAGAUUUGAAGAAGCGGUUGUCUGUCGAGACUCUUAUUAUUUCACUCGUUUAGAUUGAGGUAAGCAAAAGCCUCGUCUUGGUAAAGAAAUUUGUAGAAAUCCAGUUCAGUGAAGGAAACCCUAGUCAGUGGAGUCCAGGGAACGUAAACGAAACCGUACCUCGUGGCCAAAAUCUUUUAACGCAUAUAGGGAGGACUUGAUUUCCCUAGAGAUCGGGUGAAUCAAAUGAAUCAUGAGUAUCCGUACCUUCCACCUCAUCCAUGUACAUUGUUUAAAUUCUAAUUUCGGGAUGAAAUUCCCUUUAACCGGGGGGGGGGGGGGAUGAUGUGACAACCCGAAAUUUCUAUCUUGUGCAACAUUCAAUUCAAUAAAUGUCAGACUCAUUUAUGCUAUCUUUUAGCAUUUUUUAGAGUCUGUGUGAGUGUUAUAAGCUUAGUUGAAUCAAGAUUACAAGUCAUAGGGUUGCAUUAGGGUCAAUCCCUCCUUCAAGAGGACUGUACGGUCGUACACAUGGGUGUACGGACGUACACCUCCUCAUGGCCAUGAACACAUGCCCUUAAAUAAGCCUAACUUAUCCUUCCUUCAUUUUUCACACUUCCAAACCAAGAAAACCUGCUUUUUCUCUCAACUAUCAUCAAGUUCUUCACUUUGAUCUUCAAAGAAGUAAGUGUUUCCUACCUAGAUUUGUUGCUACAUUGCUUUAACUAGUGAUGAAUCCAUGUUGUCAUUCCAUAAAUUUCGUCUUUGGCUAGAUCUUCAUCUUUCACCAAGAACAUGAUGGGAUUUGAGCAAUACAUCAAUCCUAUGGUGUGCAUGCAAACCCUAAUAGAUUUUGGAUCUAGUUUGUCUAAUGAACAAGCAAUCGAAUAUCCAAAGCUAUAAACCCUAGAUCUAUCAUAGAAGAACUAAAAUAAGGGUUUAGUAAUUACCUUUGAUUGUUAUAUUGCAAUAACAAUCAAUUCCUUGCUUUGAUUUGCUUCAGAAAGCUUAGUGCCUCAAGUGCUGCACCUCUAAUGGAGUCACAAACACCACUAAGCAACUAGAUGAAGAAGGAGAAGAGAGGAGGCACCCAAAAACGUCUAGAAACCCUAAGGAUUCAGUUACACAUGUUUUUGGUGCAUAGAGGGCCUUUAUAUACAUGUAGUCUAUUAGGGUUUACAACUAGGAAACCCUAAUCUGGCUGCUUAAGCCCUAAGCAACCCAUGGACUCCUUUAACAUAUCCCUUAGACGAAUUCAUUUUGGGUUUCCCAUAGAAUUCGUCCAACCUAUAUUAUUUAGGUAAUCCAUAGCCUAAUUGCAAUUAUCUUAUAAUUACAAAUCCAGUCCCCUAAGUUUAAUUAAUCUCUUUUAGCCACAAAAUUAAUUCUUAAUUAAUUAGUGACUAAUAUUAAUCAAACACUAUGAUUUCUCCUUUAAUAUAUUAUUCUCAUAAUAUAUUAAUAAAUCAUAAUUAAACAUUUCUCUCCUUAAUUCAUCCUACAUAUUGCUAUGGUGAAGGCAACCCACAAGGACCAUGCUCAUAAUCGGGUCAAGUACAUACCAAAAUAGUUAUGGACUUAGACACUAAUCCAACAGUCUCCCACUUGGAUAAGUCUAAUAACUAUUUUCCGUAUGACUUCAGAACCUGAUCAGCAAUCGUAGCUUUCAAAAGCCGCUGUCAACUCUGAUCUUAUCAGAUAGCGUGUCCUCUAGAUAAGGGAUUAUAUAUUCCUCCAUUCUCAAGAUAUCGUAUAGACAAAAGACAUGAAUUUCAAUCAUUCUCUCUAUACUGUUUCCCGACUUCCGAUUUAUGACGACUGAUAACAGACUACAAUUGAACACAUCAACUUAGUCCCGGCUUGGCCAAGCGCUUAGGUGUCAUCACUAAAUCAUCGAGAGGCCCACAUAUAUCGCUUUUAUCCCACUUUGGGUAAAAGGAAUGGAUAAACUUUGACUCAUAUGCUUGCUUGCAUUCACUGAUCGAAUCACACACAACAAUAAGUUUUAUAACACCAAGUUACUCGUGCGUUUACUUAUUAUCAAUGCGCAACCGACCAAAAAAUAACAACACACACGUCUCGGUUUCAAGAAUAUACAAGAUUAUCGUCUCACUAAUCACUCGUGAUAAAUCCAUGAAGUGAUCCAAGUGAUCAUGGGCUUAAUCCAAUACUCUAAUCUUAUCAAAGCACUCAUGAACCCUGCAACAAACUUGUGCUAUGUCUAAACUCUUCAGACAAUCUACAGACUCUUCAUGACAGCCUUCCUUCAUACCUACUUCCAAGGUAUGACCAACUGUGGAGGUUCGAAUAACCCAAUUAUUCUGGAAGUCAAAACAUGCAAACUGAAACGCAACAAUAACACUUAAUCUUAUAUGGCCCCAAACUUGUGGGAGUAAAUAAAACACUUUUGUUUAAAUACCAUAUUGAUUACUCAUUAUUCACUAUUUACUGUUUCGGAAAAUCAACUUAUUACUUAAAUUACAACAAUAGCUGUCCCAUGCACAAAGCAUGCACACUAUGUUUCCUAUGGUCCUUACUUUGUGAAAUAGAUCAAUUGAAAGCUUUUCCAAUGGUGCUCAUUUCACAAUUCCCAAUCCUUGUCAUUAGUGUUAGAACACAAGGUUCUUGCCACUACUAGAAUAUGCUAGAUUCUAACAUUUUAUGCAACAAUUCUUUCGCAAAGUCAUAGCACAAAAGUUACCAAGACUUGGCCAAUGAAAUUACAAAGUACUCUAUCGGAAAUUGUUACAAGACAAUUUCAUAGAUGUGAAGUCUCACAUUCAAAGUGCAUUCCUUUGAACAUCCUUCUUGCAUAAAAUUUUCUAAUCUAGACAUAGACUAUCAAUAUCCAACUCCCAAUAUGGAAACAUUUCCAUAUUUUCCAUAUGACAACUCAUUCUUAAUAGAAUCUUAUCUAUUCAUAAUAAUGUCGAUAUGGUCCAUCCAAUACCAUACUUCCAACUACUCACAAGCGACCAAUCCUCAGCGAACUUUGGAUCGUCCUUUGAUAGUUGUUUAAUUAUUUUAGUCAAAACCGAUUCUAGUCCUUUUUCCCUCUUAAUGCGCUAGACAUUUGGAAAAUUUUAGAAUGGUCAAAUAUUAUAGCAUUUGCAAUCGAUCCUAUACCCGAAGCAUAUGGGACACGAUGCAUAAUGUCUUACAUAAAGAUAUGAUACUUUAUCAAUCUUCUGCCAUAAUAUUUUAUGUGUCACGUUCUCACAAUUCGAACUAUGAAGAGGGAUGUCGUAAUCAUAAUCGAAAUUUAAGAACACACUAUGUAUCCUUUGACUAAAUUUAUUAAAAUUUCUCAAUCUAAGCUUUAGAUUUUGAAACAAAAUAUAAUAUUCUAUCCCUUAAUUAUAGCAAAAUAACUUUUCAACCCAUGUAACUUUUCAAAUUGAAUCUUUGUUUUUCUAUAAUUAAUAUUGCUAACUUGCAAUAUUUGUCAUAAUAAUCAUACACGCAUAACACUUAUGCUCCCACUAUCAUGAUGAUUAUUAUCAUAUAAGCAUAACACUUAUGCUUCCACUAACUUUGACAUGUAUUCAGAAAACAAUUGAACUUCCAGAAAACAAUGCCUAUUGAAUUUAUGAAAUUCAUAUUUCUAAUACCAGAUGCUUCGAUAAGCCUUUGUCUAAGCUUCUUAAACUUAUACACCUUUGCCUUAGAUAACUCAUAUGUGUGUCUAAACAAUUCAGAACUUAUAUCAAUAAGUCCCAAAUGUUAGACUAAUUGUCAAAUCUCACAAUUCGAACUAUGGAAAGGGAUGCCGUAACCAUAAUCGAAUUUGAGAAUACAAUUUUCACAAUCGCUAUCUUCUUAAAAUCUCUCUUAGUGAAAUUAUUUCCUCACAGUCAUUUUCAUGAAGGAAGGAAUCUUAUGACACUUAGAUUUUUAUUUUAUUUUAUGGUGUAUGUGUUCCUAUCCAUGUGAAUUUUUCAAAACCAAGUUUGCAACAAAUCCAAACUCAUAUGGACUGAACUUUCUUAAUCUCGAUUUCUUGCCUUGUGGUGACACGAGUGCCCACCAUGUCUUCCAAGUGGUUUAGCAACUUAUCCUUACAUAUCAAUGUACUUUGCAUCGAUCAAGGUACUUUGUCUUUAUGCAUUGAAAUGAGAACUUAUAGAACUCACAUACAUAAUUAACUCAAUUGGAAUGGCACAGAAAAAAAAUAAUGUCAACAAGGUAGGUUGUAAACCUCAAGUCGUGUGCUUGUGAUGAUUGAUAAGGUUUAUUCUUGAUUUGUUCUUUAAAACUUUUUCAAGAUCAUUAAAACUCCCACUAACCUCUUGACAUAUAUGAUUCUCUUGUCAGGAAACUAUAACACCCAUAAUCAGAAAGACCAGGAAAGGAAAGGAAAACCCUAAGUUAAAGGGCCAACUCGUCGAGUCCAAGGAGGAACUCGGCGAUUCCGAGUGGGAUCUGGGUCGAGGAGUAAGUGACCGACUCGGCGAGUCGGAGUAUGGACUCGGCGAGUCCGGUCUGAAGAGGGAAUCCCUAAAUCCGGGACUUUGUGCACUAUUUAAGCACCUCAUUCUCUUCCUUAGGGUUCCUUUAAACCUCCUCUCAUCCAGAACAAUGAACCCUAGCCGCCAUACCUGUUUUUGAGUAAAGAUCUAGCCUUGGAGUUGUGAUCUGAAGCUUAGAAGAGAAGGAAGUUCAUAGUGGUGCAUGAGGAAGCCUUGGAUCCAGAGUUGGUGUGGCUUUUCAGAGCAUUUGAAGGUAAGAAGUCAUUACCUCCACUCCUUUGCUCAUAGUUUCCUUGUUGUCAUGAGAUUUGGGCUUUUAUGCCAUGUCCUAGACGCAAUUGGAGUUAGAAGUCCAAAUCUGAAGUUGCUACUUCAGAUCUAAGUGUCACACCCCCAAACCAGAACGGCGGAAUCGUUCGGGGGCGGAGGACGUCAUAUUCAGUAUCAUAACAGUUCAUAGAAAGGAAAGUACACACCACCAUAAUAUAAAUAUGUUUGAAAAAGUUUACAUGAUUGUAGGUGUUACAUGUUUGCAAAAGAAAUCAAAUAUAAAAUGGCGAUCCAAAAUAUGUUACUAACGCCAGUGCGUUAGUCUUCAGAAGUAGUUGCUACCUGGCUAGCGGUUUCCUGUGAAUACAAGUUAUUUCAAAGAAAAAGUGUCAACAUUUAAGUUGGUGAGUUCAUAAGUAGUGUUUUGAGAAGAUGUAUGCCAUUCGAAAGUGUUUGCAUGUUUUCCAGAAAAACCCUUAUUUUCUUAUAAAAGUAUGCAAUGCAUAUGAAUGUUCGUGAUGUAAAUUGCAACUAAUUGUACCGAGAAAAAUCCCUUGUUUUCCUAUUAGUUGUUUGGUUUGUAUACAGGAAAAACCCUUAUUUCCCUGACAUAACUGGCAGUCUCUAAGACCGAAAAUCGCAAGCAAGCGACGUGCUUGUAAGUUGUGUCAUAGUUUUACAUAGUAAAGCUAUACGAAGAUCGCACUUUUUAGAUGAAGAAUAGUUUUAAUGACUACUCGUUCAUAAAAGCAUAAUACCAUAAUAAUUGUAUAUCCGAUGAGUUUUAUAACCAUACUAAACAUAAUAUGCCUGUAGCGACGUUCUUCAGGCGUCGUAGCGUUAUGACAACUGUCACCCCAAAAGACGGACUGUAGCUAACAGUCAGGGCGCGGGAUCAUGACUUCCCGUAUAGAUCUAUACACAUUUGACACGUUCUCCGAACGGGAGACUCUGGUUAUAGACAGGACUUGUAGCAUUAUUUUCUAAUAAAGAAAGUAACGUUUGAAGAUAUACACGACUCAUGGAUUCUCAACUAAGUCCGUAAUAAGGUAGUAGUUUGUAUGCAAAGUUUAACCUCUUUCACAAUGUUUGACAAAGCAUAAUCAUAAGUUCUUUGAAUGCAUGAAAUGACUUAGUAAAGAAUGUUACCCUUGAUAUGAUGUGUUUGUAUGUAAACGUAUAAAUAAAACAUAUUUCUAUUUAUAAACAUAUUAUAUCCCAAAGAGGGUAAAGCUGUGUUGUGAGGGGUUUUGUAUCAUAAUAACUUCACAAGAUAGUUAAAACAACAGUAUGAAAAGUAUAUCAAAAGGUUAAUGUUUCACACGAAUUUAGUCAUGUGUUAACUUGUAUUCCUCCCCAAAAAGAGUAUAAAACAUUUAAAAUGUAUUUAAAGAGUGUUCAAAGGGGAUAUGAACUCACUUGAUAGUUUGAAG
rnacentral:lncRNA from 1 species